rnacentral:rRNA from 1 species
GAUGAACGCUGGCGGCGUGCUUAACACAUGCAAGUCGAACGAAGCACUUGAAACGGAUUCUUCGGAUGAAGUUUCCUGUGACUGAGUGGCGGACGGGUGAGUAACGCGUGGGUAACCUGCCUCAUACAGGGGGAUAACAGUUAGAAAUGGCUGCUAAUACCGCAUAAGCGCACGGCAUCGCAUGAUGCAGUGUGAAAAACUCCGGUGGUAUGAGAUGGACCCGCGUUGGAUUAGCUAGUUGGCAGGGUAACGGCCGACCAAGGCGACGAUCCAUAGCCGGCCUGAGAGGGUGGACGGCCACAUUGGGACUGAGACACGGCCCAGACUCCUACGGGAGGCAGCAGUGGGGAAUAUUGCACAAUGGGGGAAACCCUGAUGCAGCGACGCCGCGUGAGCGAAGAAGUAUUUCGGCAUGUAAAGCUCUAUCAGCAGGGAAGAAAAUGACGGUACCUGACUAAGAAGCCCCGGCUAACUACGUGCCAGCAGCCGCAGUAAAAC